rnacentral:rRNA from 1 species
CGAACCUGCGGAAGGAUCAUUA